rnacentral:lncRNA from 1 species
GUUGCAUCCCAAACUUGUCGGAUCCGUCGAGUCGGAUCUAGGUCUGAGAACCAGUAGGAAACUGUAUAAAUACCCCUACGGGUGAAGUGUAAAAUGGAGGGAGAUACAUUUCAUACUUGAGAGAUUGUUGUAUACAUUAUACUAACACGAUCACUAGUGUUAGAUCUCCCUUCAUAUUGUCCAUAAAAAGGUUUGAUCGAAUGUGCUUCAUCUGAGACUCGAACCGACUGUUUCCAUAAAGAAGUAAUUAGACUAAUGUAAUUAGAUAUAAAUUAAUAUUUUUAUAAUUGGACUAAUGUGCAAUAUAAGAAUAAUAAUGUACUUACAGGUAAUUAGACCCUGAGUGAAGAUAAUGAAUAUGAAGAGUAUCAUGGAC